rnacentral:rRNA from 1 species
AGCAGCCGCGGUAAUUCCAGCUCCAAUAGCGUAUAUUAAAGUUGUUGCAGUUAAAAAGCUCGUAGUUGAAUUUCGGGGUCAGUAGGUUGGUCAUGCCACUAGUAUGUACUGGUCUCACUGAUUCCUCCUUCCUGAUGAACUGUAAUACCAUUAAUUUGGUGUUGCAGGGAAUCUGGACUGUUACUUUGAAAAAUUAGAGUGUUUAAAGCAGGCUAACGCCUGAAUACAUUAGCAUGGAAUAAUGAAAUAGGACGUUCGAUCCUAUUUUGUUGGUUUCUAGGAUUGACGUAAUGAUUAAUAGGGAUAGUUGGGGGCAUUAGUAUUCAAUUGUCAGAGGUGAAAUUCUUGGAUUUAUUGAAGACUAACUACUGCGAAAGCAUUUGCCAAGGAUGUUUUCAUUAAUCAAGAACGAAAGUUAGGGGAUCGAAGACGAUCAGAUACCGUCGUAGU